rnacentral:lncRNA from 1 species
CUCGGAUAUAUCGCGGUUAUCAUAACCAUGAAAAUUUAACUCGGUUAUUCUCAGUUAUUCUCGGUUUUUACAUGACGUCACAAAAGUUUACAGAAGAUGACAACAGAGGUCAGAAUAGUAGCCCUAAGGAAAAUGGCGGAAGUGACUGAUUUAAGUAUCAAUUCAAAGAAAAGGAAAAAGUAUAUAGAAUGGACAGAAAAUGAAACUUUAUGCCUUCUAAAUAUUUGGAAAGCAAACAUUUCCUCCCAAGAUCCUUUUCGCAGUAUCCCAGAAUCCUUUGCUCAAAACUCAGUUAUGCGUGGUUCAUGUGAACGGCUGACUAACGUUCCUGGUUUUAUUAACUGAGAAAGAAUAACCGAGUUCGAGUAUAACCGAGAUUCUCGGUUCGUGUGAACGGGGUAUAAGGGAUAUCCCGCCCGCGCAACCUGCGAUCAAAGGAAACGUUAAACUCCCAUUUUGUGUUUAUCGCCGACAACUUUC